rnacentral:rRNA from 1 species
UGGGGAAUAUUGCACAAUGGGCGAAAGCCUGAUGCAGCAACGCCGCGUGAGUGAUGAAGGUCUUCGGAUUGUAAAGCUCUGUCUUUUGGGACGAUAAUGACGGUACCAAAGGAGGAAGCCACGGCUAACUACGUGCCAGCAGCCGCGGUAAUACGUAGGUGGCGAGCGUUGUCCGGAUUUACUGGGCGUAAAGGGUGCGUAGGCGGAUGUUUAAGUGAGAUGUGAAAUACCCGGGCUUAACUUGGGUGCUGC